UAGUUCACCUCUCUGGUGUUGUUCUUGUUUUCAUCUGAUUAAUCUAGUUCUUGCCAGUUCUUCCUGUACUUCCUGUUAGAUCUCGAGUUUGUAUUUUUGUGCCCGUGACAGUUUGUCGAGACUGCACUCACCUAAGAUAUCAGAGUUGGUUUCUUCUUUGUUAGAAUGUGGAUUAUCCCUCUGCUUAGAAGUGUACGAGCAUUUUAGAGGUUGCGGAUUACCCUCUUCUAAACUGAUACUUCUUUUGUUAUAAUAUUGGAGUCUUAUUCUUCUUGGAUAGAGUGGAUUACCC
rnacentral:lncRNA from 1 species